UAAUACGAGGGGAGCAAGCGUUGUUCGGAAUCAUUGGGCGUAAAGGGCGCGUAGGCGGUCUGGCAAGUCUAAGGUGAAAUCCCUCGGCUCAACCGAGGAACUGCCUUGGAAACUGCCGGACUUGAGUUCCGGAGAGGAAAGCAGAAUUCCCAGUGUAGCGGUGAAAUGCGUAGAUAUUGGGAGGAAUACCGGUGGCGAAGGCGGCUUUCUGGACGGAAACUGACGCUGAGGCGCGAAAGCUAGGGGAGCAAACGGGAUUAGAUACCCCGGUAGUCCUAGCCGUAAACGAUGGACACUUGGUGUUGGGGGUAUUGAGUCCCUCAGUGCCGUAGUUAACACGAUAAGUGUCCCGCCUGGGGAGUACGGUCGCAAGACUG
rnacentral:rRNA from 1 species